rnacentral:lncRNA from 1 species
UCAUGUAAAAGUUUUGGCGGUCACUCGAUGCUAGGGGUGGCAGUCCAGCUCGCUAUUCGUGAGCCAGCUCGUGUUCGGCUCGAAAUGAGCUCGAGAUCGAAUCGUUAGUUUAGUAAACGAGUCGAACACGAGCUGGGGUCAGCUCGCUCGUGUUCGGCUCGAUAACAGCUCGAAUACAUAUAUUUUAUAUUUAUAUAAUUUAUUUAAUUUAUAUUUUUAUAUAUAAAUAAAUAAUUAUAUAUAAAAUAAAAUUUUAUUAUUUAAUUUUGAGUAAAAUAAAAAUAUAAAG